rnacentral:rRNA from 1 species
CCUACGAGAGGCAGCAGUAGGGAAUCUUCCACAAUGGGCGAAAGCCUGAUGGAGCACCGCCGCGUGGGUGAAGCAGGUCUUCGGAUCGUAAAACCCUGUUGUUAGAGACGAAAGUGCGUAAGAGUAACUGUUCACGUUUCGACGGUAUCUAACCAGAAAGCCACGGCUAACUACGUGCCAGCAGCCGCGGUAAUACGUAGGUGGCAAGCGUUAUCCGGAUUUAUUGGGCGUAAGGGGAACGCAGGCGGUCUUUUAAGUCUGAUGUGAAAGCCUUCGGCUUAACCGGAGUAGUGCAUUGGAAACUGGGAGACUUGAGUGCAGAAGAGGAGAGUUGAACUCCAUGUGUAGCGGUGAAAUGCGUAGAUAUAUGGAAGAACACCAGUGGCGAAAGCGGCUCUCUGAUCUGUAACUGACGCUGAGGUUCGAAAGCGUGGGUAGCAAACAGGAUUAGAUACCCUAGUAGUC